rnacentral:rRNA from 1 species
AUGGUUGACAAGAACCAAUGGCCUAAAUCUGACCAUGGAUUCUUCAUGUUUCCACCACUACUAAAAUCCACGACGGGUAGGCAUAAAACUGAGAGGUAUAAAGGCUGCAGUGAGAAGAAAAGAAAAAGCGGCCAACACUUAUGCCCUAUUUGUAAGUAUUAUGGGCAUCAUUGGCAUAAAUGCAAGAAGGGUAACCCAGAUGACAUUGCUGCUAUUUUAGCUGUGAGAGGACCACCAAAGAAGAGCGCAAAGACCACCAAAGCAUCAAUUGUGCCUUGCGAGGAUGAUGCUCCAGCAGCCUCUAUGUGCUUUCCGCCAAGCCAAAGCUUGCAACCUACAACUACGAAAAAGAGAAAACAUGAUAACUCAAUUACUGGAGCAUCAAAAAGCCAAAUGUUGGAGAAAACAAUUAAGGAAAAAGGGAAAGGGAGUAAAUCUGGAUCCAGAGUAGCAAAAAGAACUCAACCCAUUUGUGUGGCCAACAAGAAAGCAUUUGUUGCUUUGAAAUUACAUGCCAAAAGAAAAGGCAAAGAGGUUGCUGAUAAGUUGCCACACCUUCCUAUGGUGCCACAUAAUAGCCCUGCAAUGGGCACACGUAGCAAAAAAAUGAAUCCUGCCAGCCCUGCAAUGAGCUCACGAAGCAAAAGGAGGCUUAGCUUGUGA